rnacentral:lncRNA from 1 species
CUCUCAAGUCGACAACUCAGGAAGAAAAAGACGCAGAAACAUCAAACAAUAGUGAGGAAGAUGAGGACUUGGCCCUGAUUAUCAACAAAUUUAGAUGCUUCAUGAGGAGAAAAAGAUAAGGGACUAAGAGAACUCCACCAGUCAAGGGAGAGUCGAGUAAAGAAAAAAAAUAGUCCAUUAUCUGCUAUGAAUGCAAGAAGCCGGACCACU